UACAGAGGUCUCAAGCGUUGUUCGGAUUCAUUGGGCGUAAAGGGUGCGUAGGUGGCGCUGUAAGUCGGGUGUGAAAUUUCGGAGCUUAACUCCGAAACUGCAUUCGAUACUGCGGUGCUUGAGGACUGGAGAGGAGACUGGAAUUCAUGGUGUAGCAGUGAAAUGCGUAGAGAUCAUGAGGAAGACCAGUGGCGAAGGCGGGUCUCUGGACAGUGACUGACGCUGAGACGCGAAAGCGUGGGGAGCAAACAGG
rnacentral:rRNA from 1 species